GUCUUGUCUAUGAUGUUCUGAAAUAAAUGUCUGAACAUAUGAAUUAUACUGAUUCACAAUGCAUAACUGAGACAAGAC